AGCAGCCGCGGUAAUUCCAGCUCCAAUAGCGUAUAUUAAAGUUGUUGCAGUUAAAAAGCUCGUAGUUGAAUUUCGGAGUCAGUAAGUUGGUCGUGCCACUGGUAUGUACUGGCUUUACUGAUUCCUCCCUCUUGUAAAACCGUAAUGCCAUUAAUUUGGUGUUGCGGGGAAACAGGACUGUUACUUUGAAAAAAUUAGAGUGUUUAAAGCAGGCUAACGCUUGAAUACAUUAGCAUGGAAUAAUGAAAUAGGACGUUCGAUCUUAUUUUGUUGGUUUCUAAGAUUGACGUAAUGAUUAAUAGGGAUAGUUGGGGGCAUUAGUAUUCAAUUGUCAGAGGUGAAAUUCUUGGAUUUAUUGAAGACUAACUACUGCGAAAGCAUUUGCCAAGGAUGUUUUCAUUAAUCAAGAACGAAAGUUAGGGGAUCGAAGACGAUCAGAUACCGUCGUAGUCUUAACCAUAAACUAUGCCGACUAGGGAUCGGAUGAUGUUAAUUUUAUAAUGACUCAUUCGGCGCCUUA
rnacentral:rRNA from 1 species